GGGUUUCUGCCUUUAGCCGUCG
rnacentral:siRNA from 1 species